rnacentral:lncRNA from 1 species
GGAUGGAAUCAGAGGAUGGACUCUUCCAACUUCGGACUUCAAGUUGAAGAAGGAAACGACCUUCCGGUCAAGGUUGUUUGUUUUUUUGGCACAUGGGUUUCUUGGGCUGAUUCAGGUUUCUAAGCCCUUUCCGGCUAUUUUAGUUGAUCCAAUUUGCUAAGCUGAUCAAUCAAACCCAGUACAAUACCAGACCUCAAAAG